UGCUGAGACUCAACGUUCGGUUCAAGCGAUAACAAAUCAAUAUUACUCGUUCCCAAAACAUCUGGUUUUUCACCCAUGUCCCAAUCAUAACAAACCAAUUCCAAAACAUCCAAAACUCGAUUUUGCACUACAAUGUCAGCCUCUUCAUUCCAGACAGGAUUUAAGUUCUUCUUAAUCACUUUGCUUUUAAAUGCACUUUCACCAUUCAACUUCAACACAACAAAAGGAUCAGAUGAUCGGAUGUCGCCAAUUGGUAGGUUUUGUCCAUCCUGCAACAUAAAGUGAAGAGAACCGCUGUUGAUAUAGCUUUCCAUAGGAUUCAGUGUCAUUGGUACUGGCAUGUAAGUAAUCGAUAAUCUUACGUGAUUAAGUUGACCAUUGCUACCCGGUAUCUCAACAGAAUAUGGCCGACCUAGCGCUUCAGAGACAAGAUCGAGAGUUUUUACACUAUGCUCACACACUACUUUGGGAUCCUUUUUGGCACCGUCAGUCAACUGAAAAGUAGUUUCCGAAAAUUGUAACUCUCGAACCAUAGAAAUACCAAAUGAUGACCAACGAG